rnacentral:rRNA from 1 species
UGCGUAGGCGGGGCAAUUAGUCAGUGGUGAAAUCCUGCGGCUUAACCGUAGAAUUGCCAUUGAUACUGUUGCCCUUGAGUAUAGUUGAAGUGGGCGGAAUAUGUAAUGUAGCGGUGAAAUGCAUAGAGAUUACAUAGAACACCAAUUGCGAAGGCAGCUCACUAAGCUAUCACUGACGCUGAGGCACGAAAGCGUGGGGAGCGAACAGGAUUAGAUACCCUGGUAGUCC